rnacentral:ncRNA from 1 species
GUGACUCUGGAGAAUCCCGUUUCCGCGGGUGCCGAAGGUGCAAAGCGCGCAAGCGCCAAUCUCUCAGGCAAAAGGACAGAGGAAAA